CUUCCCAGUUGGCCACUGUAGGGUCUUGGCCCAAUGUGGGGUCUUCCAGUUGACCAACUGGGGUCUGGUCCCAUUGUAGGGUCUUCCCAGUUGGCCACUGUAGGGUCUUGACCCAAUGUGGGGUCUUCCAGUUGACCAAUUGGGGUCUCGGCCCAUUGUAGGGUCUUCCCAGUUGGCCACUGUAGGGUCUUGACCCAAUGUGGGGUCUUCCAGUUGACCAACUGGGGUCUGGUCCCAUUGUAGGGUCUUCCCAGUUGGCCAUUGUAGGGUCUUGACCCACUGUGGGGUCUUCCAGUUGACCAACUGGGGUCUGGGCCUAUUGUAGGGUCUUCCCAGUUGACCAAUUGGGGUCUUGGCCCAAUGUGGGGUCUUCCCAUUGACCAAUUGGGGUCUCGGCCCAUUGUAGGGUCUUCCCAGCUGGCCAUUGUAGGGUCUUGACCCAACAUGGGGUCUUCCAG
ensembl:lncRNA